AGACAUGGGCGACGCGGGUCGAAGUGUGGUAUCUGCUUUUAUCAGCUGAAUAUUUGAUGCGGAUUCCAUUUUUACCUAAUAUAUUAAACUUAUUCUUGCAAGUUGGCGGAGUGCUUGAAGCCUGCUUCAGCUCCGCCGCAUGUCCGCCCGGUAUUGCACUAUAUUUCCGGGAUCGACCCACGUUUC